rnacentral:rRNA from 1 species
UACGAAGGGUGCAACCGUUGCUCGGAAUUAUUGGGCGUAAAGCGCACGUAGGCGGUAUUGCAAGUCGGAUGUGAAAUCCCUCGGCUCAACCAAGGAAGUGCAUCCGAAACUGCCGUACUUGAGUACUUAAGAGGAUCGCGGAAUUUCCGGUGUAGCGGUGAAAUGCGUAGAGAUCGGAAGGAACACCAGUGGCGAAGGCGGCUACCUGGACUGAUACUGACACUGAGGCGCGAGAGCGUGGGGAGCAAACAGG